UAAUAAAGCCCCGCCCACUUUUUUUUGCUCGGUUGUGUCGCUUUGGUGCACCUGAACUGAUUGAUGUAGGGUUUCGACCAUUUUGUGAACGAAUAAUGGUGUUUUUUCUACCCUCAUGUUGCUACUGUGAAAUUUCUGGAAUUCCUUUAGGCCUGCAGACGUUUUCUUGUCCUUCCUGUUGCUGACCCGGGACCUUGGAGGAUCUUCCCAACUCUUCUCUUCAGCAAGCUACGUCCCUGCAGUGUGUACCUACCUUUUUGCAUGCUAAACCACUGGUGUCUGAGAUGCCCUUGUGGGAGCGGGCCAUCAUCACACCCCUAUGUGACGUGCAGGCUUUCACAGCGUGCUUUGUGUAAGGGGGUGGUGGUGAUGCUGAAUAAACCUCCCGUUCGACAUUUGAUGACUCCUAAGGAGAAUGUGGAAGGUUGCUGAUGCACACUGAAGAAAAUGCAGCAGCAAUAGAAUCCAAAAAUGAAGAACAUCUCCUCAGAGCUCCACUGACAUUCAGCAAACACAGUGAACUUGUACAGCGAAAGUGAUUGACAUCCCAGUCCAGAGCAUGUCGGUGUACGUGCAGUCAAGUUUGGCAGACGACGCCUCCUUUCUCGCUCAGGAAAACAUCAGCGUGUGAGUGACAGAAAUCAUCUUUAAUAUACGUCUCUCUUUGGACAUGCAUGCAAACAGUGCACGGAUGCAUGUGCACACACUGGAAUGGUGUUACAUCAAUAGACAGACCGUCGGGGAGUGAAAUGUUCAAAGUUCAAGUAUAAAAUAUGUCCUCCAGACUGCUGGAACAUGUCCAGGUUGUACUCGCCGCCUUGUUUUGUCUCCCUCCAUACAUCUCCUUCUUUUGGCACAUCAUACUCUUGCUGUUUUCAAACACACAUACACACACAAACAAAGCGCACAAGCACUGAAUAAUGGAUGAACCCAGUGACACUAUGAUGAUGCUUUUUUUUUUUACAGCUAUACAAAGUCGUCCUUUAAAGGGUUGUCCCUCUUAUGCUGCCUAGAGUUCACAUUUUGUCACUUGACAUUUACAGAGAGGUUUAUGACGGCCCUAAGCUCUGAUGUCUCACUGCCGCUGACACUGAAUCCAAACUCUGUGGACACCGACACAGACAGCACCUGAGGGCCUGAAACGGAGCAGAACACAAGUUUCAUAUAUGGGCUCAGACUUGAGGUCCAACUGAGAGGCUGUUACCUCAGUCUACUUUCUAAAACAAGAAAUGAUACAUACAUACACUAGAUCUGAACUAUAAAACUUCUGCAGUUUCUGUCCAAAGUCACUUAAUUUAUUCUAAGAGCUACAGGUCAGGAUAUCUUUGAUAGCUUUGAUUUCUGCCCCUAAAUUUGUGAAUGCACGGUACUGAAUUGGUGCAGUGCCCUUUUAAUGAAGACAUUACUGAAUUUUAAUUUGAUUGUAUGUAUUUUAGAGAAGUGGAAAACGUUUUGUCAGACCUGCUGCUGCCACAGCUUGGCAAGGAACUACUGUUCAGGGAAACCUUUGAGGGAAAGUCGUCUUUAGACCAACUUGGAUGGAUACGACUGGAAUUAGCUUAGCAGGACGGCUGAAGCUCUAUUUGAGCCUCAGACAAACAUUAGAGUAUAUUUUUUCCACAGAAUGGGGGCUUGUGUGUUCUGUCCCUCAUUUUUUAUAGCGCAGUGGAGUUCUGGGUGGAAAGCUUCAGGCUCGGCGUGGAGAGUUGAACUUGAAGCGACUAAGACCUGUUCUCAUGUGCGCUCAUCAGUACUGUUGUAAGAUCAACUUGAAAACUCCAUCAUACUUUAAAA